GCCUGCCCAGUGACCAUGAGUUCAACGGCCGCGGUAUUCUGACCGCGCGAAGGUAGCGUAAUCACUUGUUUUUUAAAUAAAGACUGGUAUGAACGGCCGCACGAGGACCUAACUGUCUCCUUUGUCCAAUCAGUGAAACUGAUCUCCUCGUGCAGAAGCGAGGAUUUUAUCAUAAGACGAGAAGACCCUAUGGAGCUUUAAACUUUUAUUAAUUAUUUUCUUCACCCCUCUAAGGAGCUACAACCAAUUUAAUUUUUUAAUAAAAGUUUUAGGUUGGGGCGACCAUGGAGAAAAAAAUAUCCUCCCUGAUGACACCUAACUAAGAGCCACAGCUCCAAGUAUUAAGACACUUAACUCCUAUUGACCCAUUUUAUGAUCAACGAACCAAGUUACCCUAGGGAUAACAGCGCAAUCCAUUUCAAGAGUCCCUAUCGACAAAUGGGUUUACGACCUCGAUGUUGGAUCAGGGCAUCCAAGUGGUGCAACCGCUACUAAAGGUUCGUUUGUUCAACGAUUAAAGCCCU
rnacentral:rRNA from 1 species